GGAUGAGCCCGCGGCCUAUCAGCUUGUUGGUGGGGUAAUGGCCUACCAAGGCGUCGACGGGUAGCCGGCCUGAGAGGGUGGACGGCCACAUUGGGACUGAGAUACGGCCCAGACUCCUACGGGAGGCAGCAGUGGGGAAUAUUGCACAAUGGGCGGAAGCCUGAUGCAGCGACGCCGCGUGGGGGAUGACGGCCUUCGGGUUGUAAACCUCUUUCGACAGGGACGAAGCCUCUUGGGGUGACGGUACCUGCAGAAGAAGCACCGGCCAACUACGUGCCAGCAGCCGCGGUAAUACGUAGGGUGCGAGCGUUGUCCGGAAUUACUGGGCGUAAAGAGCUCGUAGGCGGUUUGUCGCGUCGUCUGUGAAAUCCCGCAGCUCAACUGCGGGCUUGCAGGCGAUACGGGCAGACUCGAGUACUGCAGGGGAGACUGGAAUUCCUGGUGUAGCGGUGGAAUGCGCAGAUAUCAGGAGGAACACCGGUGGCGAAGGCGGGUCUCUGGGCCGAUACUGACGCUGAGGAGCGAAAGCGUGGGGAGCGAACAGGAUUAGAUACCCUGGUAGUCCACGCUGUAAACGUUGGGCGCUAGGUGUGGGGUGCUGUCCAUGUACUCCGUGCCGUAGCUAACGCAUUAAGCGCCCCGCCUGGGGAGUACGGCCGCAAGGCUAAAACUCAAAGGAAUUGACGGGGGCCCGCACAAG
rnacentral:rRNA from 1 species